AGAGGAGCUUGCUCUUCUUGGAUGAGUUGCGCACGGGUGAGUAACGCGUAGGUAACCUGCCUUGUAGCGGGGGAUAACUAUUGGAAACGAUAGCUAAUACCGCAUAACAAUGGAUGACACAUGUCAUUUAUUUGAAAGGGGCAAAUGCUCCACUACAAGAUGGACCUGCGUUGUAUUAGCUAGUAGGUGAGGUAACGGCUCACCUAGGCGACGAUACAUAGCCGACCUGAGAGGGUGAUCGGCCACACUGGGACUGAGACACGGCCCAGACUCCUACGGGAGGCAGCAGUAGGGAAUCUUCGGCAAUGGGGGCAACCCUGACCGAGCAACGCCGCGUGAGUGAAGAAGGUUUUCGGAUCGUAAAGCUCUGUUGUAAGUCAAGAACGAGUGUGAGAGUGGAAAGUUCACACUGUGACGGUAGCUUACCAGAAAGGGACGGCUAACUACGUGCCAGCAGCCGCGGUAAUACGUAGGUCCCGAGCGUUGUCCGGAUUUAUUGGGCGUAAAGCGAGCGCAGGCGGUUUGAUAAGUCUGAAGUUAAAGGCUGUGGCUCAACCAUAGUUCGCUUUGGAAACUGUCAAACUUGAGUGCAGAAGGGGAGAGUGGAAUUCCAUGUGUAGCGGUGAAAUGCGUAGAUAUAUGGAGGAACACCGGUGGCGAAAGCGGCUCUCUGGUCUGUAACUGACGCUG
rnacentral:rRNA from 1 species